AGCAGCCGCGGUAAUUCCAGCUCCAAUAGCGUAUAUUAAAGUUGUUGCAGUUAAAAAGCUCGUAGUUGAAUUUCGGGAUCAAUAUGUUGGUCGUGCCUCGGUACGUACUAGCUUAUUGGUUUCUCCUUUCUGAAGAACCAUGAUGUCAUUUAUUUGGUGUCGUGGGGAAUCAGGACUGUUACUUUGAAAAAUUAGAGUGUUUAAAGCAGGCUCACGCUUGAAUACAUUAGCAUGGAAUAAUGAAAUAGGACGUUUGAUUCUAUUUUGUUGGUUUCUAGGAUCGACGUAAUGAUUAAUAGGGAUAGUUGGGGGCAUUAGUAUUCAAUUGUCAGAGGUGAAAUUCUUGGAUUUAUUGAAGACUAACUACUGCGAAAGCAUUUGCCAAGGAUGUUUUCAUUAAUCAAGAACGAAAGUUAGGGGAUCGAAGACGAUCAGAUACCGUCGUAGUCUUAACCAUAAACUAUGCCGACUAGGGAUCGGAUGAUGUUGUAUUUUUAACGACUCAUUCGGCGCCUUACGG
rnacentral:misc_RNA from 1 species